rnacentral:rRNA from 1 species
GACGAACGCUGGCGGCGUGCUUAACACAUGCAAGUCGAACGCUGAAGCUUGGUGCUUGCACUGGGUGGAUGAGUGGCGAACGGGUGAGUAAUACGUGAGUAACCUGCCCUUGACUCUGGGACAAGCCUGGGAAACUGGGUCUAAUACUGGAUACGACAUGUCACCGCAUGGUGGUGUGUGGAAAGGGUUUUACUGGUUUUGGAUGGGCUCACGGCCUAUCAGCUUGUUGGUGGGGUAAUGGCUCACCAAGGCGACGACGGGUAGCCGGCCUGAGAGGGUGACCGGCCACACUGGGACUGAGACACGGCCCAGACUCCUACGGGAGGCAGCAGUGGGGAAUAUUGCACAAUGGGCGGAAGCCUGAUGCAGCGACGCCGCGUGAGGGAUGACGGCCUUCGGGUUGUAAACCUCUUUCAGCACGGAAGAAGCGAAAGUGACGGUACGCGCAGAAGAAGCGCCGGCUAACUACGUG